rnacentral:lncRNA from 1 species
GCCACAUCACAAACUGCAGAGCAUCUGUAGCUGAAGAUGAUGGUCAACACAUAAAGAGCGGCACAAGAACCCAUGUCUGAAUCGCCAGAACCCACGUGAAAAAACAAAACAGCAGCAGCAAACAACAACAACAAAACAACCAACCAAACUAAAAACCCAGGUGAUGUGGCACUCCCAAUAUCGGUGAAGCAGGGGUAAGAGGAUCCAGGAAGCUUCGUGGCCAGUCAGUAUUACUGACUCAUCGAGCUCCAGGUUCAUCGUGAGACACGGUCUCAAAGAAUAAGGCUGAGUGUGAAGAUCCGCCUUGCCACUUAGCAGUGUGUGAACUUGCUAAGCACCCCUGCCACCCUCCCAGAUCAUAUGCACAGCGCUGAUAGGAAAAUGCACUUCAGAGGGUUGUGAAGAGAACCAGAAUGUUCUCCAGGCUCCACCCAAUGCCAAGGGUCUAGCCAACAGACUGAGUUCCAGCUUCGCAACAGCAUCCUGACCAAAACCAGGUUUGUGUGGUCACCCUAUCCCAGCUCCUUCAGUCUCCAGGCAAACACUGCAGCACCUUUUUGCUUUGA